GGUGGAACCCAAACGAUCGCUGGUACGCAGUGCGUACCGGAGGAAAGUCCGAACACCACAGGGCAGGGUGCUCCGUAACCCGGAGUCGCGGAAACGCGAAGGAAAGUGCAGCAGAGAGCAGACCGCCCCGCACUCACUUUUAUCGCCAGGCUUUUUCUCCCGGCAUAUAAGCGGCCUGGAGAUAAAAGUGAGUGCGGGGUAAGGGUGAAACGGUGCGGUAAGAGCGCACCAGUUCCCCGGGCGACCGGGGAAGAUAGGCAAACCCCACCCGGUGCAAGACCGAAUAGGGGAGCGCUUGAGGGUGGCCCGCCCGAGGCUCCCGGGUAGGUCGCUGGAGAUGCCGGCCAACCGGCAUCCGCAGAUGAAUGAUCGUUGCCCGCAACCGGGGCAACCCGGUGCGGGAACAGAAUUCGG
rnacentral:RNase_P_RNA from 1 species